rnacentral:pre_miRNA from 1 species
GGUGGUGGGGGGAAGUCCCUCAGCCCAGAUUGUGAGAGGGCACAGGCCAGGCCGAGGGACUCACUGGUGCAUG